UACGUAGGGGGCAAGCGUUGUCCGGAUUUAUUGGGCGUAAAGCGCGUGUAGGCGGCCAGAUAGGUCUGCUGUGAAAACUCGAGGCUCAACCUCGAGACGCCGGUGGAAACCGUAAAGCUAGAGUCCGGAAGAGGAGAGUGGAAUUCCUGGUGUAGCGGUGAAAUGCGCAGAUAUCAGGAAGAACACCCGUGGCGAAGGCGGCUCUCUGGGACGGUACUGACGCUGAGACGCGAAAGCGUGGGGAGCGAACAGG
rnacentral:rRNA from 1 species